UACAGAGGGUGCGAGCGUUGUCCGGAAUCACUGGGCGUAAAGGACGCGUAGGUGGCUUGGUAAGUAGGGGGUGAAAUCUCGAGGCUCAACUUCGAGGCUGCCUCCUAAACUGUCAGGCUUGAGCAGAGUAGAGGCAGGUGGAAUUCCCGGUGUAGCGGUGGAAUGCGUAGAGAUCGGGAAGAACACCAGUGGCGAAAGCGCUCUGCUGGACCUGCACUGACACUGAGGGACGAAAGCUAGGGGAGCGAAUGGG
rnacentral:rRNA from 1 species